UCCAGACUCCUACGGGAGGCAGCAGUGGGGGAUAUUGCACAAUGGGCGAAAGCCUGAUGCAGCAACGCCGCGUGAAGGAAGAAGGCCUUCGGGUCGUAAACUUCUGUCCUUGGGGAAGAAGAACUGACGGUACCCAAGGAGGAAGCCCCGGCUAACUACGUGCCAGCAGCCGCGGUAAUACGUAGGGGGCAAGCGUUAUCCGGAUUUACUGGGUGUAAAGGGGGCGCAGACGGCGAUGCAAGCCAGGAGUGAAAGCCCGGGGCCCAACCCCGGGACUGCUCUUGGAACUGCGUGGCUGGAGUGCAGGAGGGGCAGGCGGAAUUCCUGGUGUAGCGGUGAAAUGCGUAGAUAUUAGGAGGAACACCAGUGGCGAAGGCGGCCUGCUGGACGAUGACUGACGUUGAGGCUCGAAAGCGUGGGGAGCAAACAGGAUUAGAUACCCCUGUA
rnacentral:rRNA from 1 species